GCCCUUCACUACGGAAUAGCCUCUGGAAACGGAGAGUAAUACCGUAUACGCCCUUUUGGGGAAAGAUUUAUCGGUGAAGGAUUAGCCCGCGUCUGAUUAGAUAGUUGGUGGGGUAACGGCCUACCAAGUCGACGAUCAGUAGCUGGUUUGAGAGGAUGAUCAGCAACACUGGGACUGAGACACGGCCCAGACUCCUACGGGAGGCAGCAGUGGGGAAUCUUAGACAAUGGGCGCAAGUGAUCUAGCCAUGCCGCGUGGAUGAAGGCCUUAGGGUUGUAAAGCUCUUUCGCCAGGGAUGAUAAUGACAGUACCUGGUAAAGAAACCCCGGCUAACUCCGUGCCAGCAGCCGCGGUAAUACGGAGGGGGUUAGCGUUGUUCGGAAUUACUGGGCGUAAAGCGCGCGUAGGGGAUUGGAAAGUUGGGGGUGAAAUCCCGGGGCUCAACCCCGAACUGCCUCCAAAACUAUCAGUCUAGAGUUCGAGAGAGGUGAGUGGAAUUCCAAGUGUAGAGGUGAAAUUCGUAGAUAUUUGGAGGAACACCAGUGGCGAAGGGGCUCACUGGCUCGAUACUGACGCUGAGGUGCGAAAGUGUGGGGAGCAAACAGGAUUAGAUACCCUGGUAGUCCACACCGUAAACGAUGAAUGCCAGACGUCGGGGGGCUUG
rnacentral:rRNA from 1 species